CAUGUAGAUCUUCUUGAAAGGGUUCUGUUUGUUGGUGUGUGAUUGCAAAAGAGUGUUAGGGUUUGCUUUUGGCUUGAUUGUGGUGAUGGUGUCAAGCGAUUUCAAGAAAGAUUUUGAAAAGUUCGAUGGCAAGGAGAACUUUACCAUAUGGCAGCAAAGGAUAAAGGACUUGUUGGUUCAGCAGAGGAUCUACAAGGUCUU
rnacentral:lncRNA from 1 species